rnacentral:rRNA from 1 species
AACGAACGCUGGCGGCAGGCUUAACACAUGCAAGUCGAACGCCCCGCAAGGGGAGUGGCAGACGGGUGAGUAACGCGUGGGAAUCUACCCAAUUCUACGGAAUAACCCAGGGAAACUUGGACUAAUACCGUAUACGCCCUACGGGGGAAAGGUUUAUCGGAAUUGGAUGAGCCCGCGUAAGAUUAGCUAGUUGGUGGGGUAAUGGCCUACCAAGGCGACGAUCUUUGGCUGGUCUGAGAGGAUGAUCAGCCACACUGGGACUGAGACACGGCCCAGACUCCUACGGGAGGCAGCAGUGGGGAAUAUUGGACAAUGGGCGCAAGCCUGAUCCAGCCAUGCCGCGUGAGUGAUGAAGGCCUUAGGGUUGUAAAGCUCUUUCAGUGGGGAAGAUAAUGACGGUACCCACAGAAGAAGCCCCGGCUAACUUCGUGCCAGCCGCCGCGGUAAGAC